CCACAAUCUGGGUUUGGUUUACGAUAAUAUGGGAGAGUACGAAAAAGCAAAAGAUUUUCAUGAACGAGCGAUGAAAAUUACAUUUGGACCUGACCAUGUUAAUAUUACGAGAAAUGAAUCACGUUGUAAUUUACUGUGAUAGGAAAAAGACGAAAAACCAACACAAUAAAGUUUAUAACGAGUGACAGAACUUGAAAGUGAAGCAUUUGACCUCUAUAUUUAUCUUUUAUUUGCUAACAGCUAAAAGUCUUUCGUAUUUGAGAAACGUUUCACGAGAUAAAGGAAGAAAAGACAGUUGUAUUUUCAGUUUAGAGCGAUAGAAUUUCAAACAAAAGUAUUUGGACCUGAACAUGUACUGCAAAAAUAUACAACAAUCUUCAUUUGGUUUUAAACAAACUAUAGAUAUUGAAACUGAAGCAUUUGAACUUCUAUUUAUCUUUUAUUUGCUAGAAGAUAAAAUACUCCUGUUUUUGUGAAAACGUACAAAGAGAUAGAAGAAGAGGAAAUGAAUUUUUACCUCAUUUUCAAUGAAGAAGAAAAUCAAUUUCUCUUUUCAUUUUAGGUAGUGAUGUAGCCAAGAAAAAUGGAGCUUUUACUUUAAUUAUGUGUGUCAUCUCAUAUGUAGUGUAGUGAGUAACGAAAAAGUAAUUGAACAACAAAAUAUUUAUUUUCAUAGCACUGGUAGACUUGCUAUACACUA